GUGUUAUAUAGUAAGUGGAAGAAGAAACACAAUACUCUACGCAAUGUUAAUUACUUCGAAGAAGGUAGGAGACAUUCAGACACAGCGUAAUGUCGUUCAAUAUUGUAUUUCUUAGAGUGUGAGAAGCAGAUCUCUGAACACACAGGAACAACAGCAACAACAAGGAAGCGUAAUGAGACUGGAAAAGAAAACAGCAUUCAGUUGCUUACUUCUUCGAUAGAAGAUCUGCCGUCUUGGCUAUUUUGAGGGGUAACUUCUUGCUUUGAAAUGUGAAAUGAAAGAGUUGGGGAUCUUAAUUUCCUAGAAGUACUUGAAUUUGUUCCUCACAAGUUUGCUGGAUUAUGUAACCUGAAUUUAUUUUGUCAACAACAUCCUAAGAGGGAAAUUCACUUCGAGAGCCUCACUUUUCAAGCAAACAUUAUUUUGGCUGUCUGCUGGUCACUGUCUCCCAGUAACUACCAAGGAAAGACUGAGUCACUAAGAGAACAUGUUUUGUUUAAAGUUGAAUUUAUGCAGUGUUUCCCAUAUGGAAUGAGAACCUGAUCCUGCAUCAUGAAGCUCAGAUUUCAUUUUGACCUUCGCAAGGGCUGUUCGGAUCUUCAACACUUGGAGCCAGAUCUGCUCAUCUCCUUGGAAAUACUCUAGAUGCAAUUCGUUAUUUGAUGUGUUAUUAUUUGGUUCUUAUAGAAGUCUGCCUACAUUCAUAUGCAUGGGAACAGAAAAUUUAUCCUUCGCAUAAGACAGAACACUGUGUUCUCAGCUGACCAAAACACGAUCAGCCAGAACAGGAACUUGGUGCUGGAGGUCUUCAUGUUCUGAAAUUCUUCCCCACUGUCGUCACUUACUGAAGAGUCUCUCUUAAUUGAGAACAUCAGUUGCACGAUAAGCAUACAGGCAGAAGGCAGUGCUGCUGGAACAAGAGUGUUUGUAGACUGCAAGCAAGGAGAAGUUAUGGUGAAGAGAGAAUUCACAAGAGAUAUGAGGAGUUACAAGGAAGACCUUUCAGCUCUGUAUGGACUUGCAACUGCAGCUACUCUUUGCAACUGCUGUCACCACAGGAUCCAUACACUUUCUGCAUAAAAUACAUCAUCCAAUGAGUGAUACUAGAGGGGUUCAAGGAGCCCUUGUAACUUGUCCACAAAGGUCAUUGCCACUCAGUCCUACUAAUAGGAAAGUCCAAGGACAAGAAGCAUACCACAGAAGACAUGACCUUCUGGAGGGUGGAGUUAAAUCAACAAAGGCACUUGGUGACUGCUCACAUCAUUUUUUCUGGAUUCCAUCCCCACAGGACAAUAAGAAAAGUCAUAUCUACAUCCUGAAUUCCUCCAUCUAUUCAAAUAUUCAGUGUAAACUUUGUAAAUCUGGUGUGAACAACAGGUUGUCUGUGAAGAAGAGAAUACAAAAUUCAAUGAACAAUUUCAAAAGCCAAGGUAGAGGUAUUCAAAAGCAGAUUUCCACUCAGAGGCAUUUUUUCUUCUUAGGUAAGCUGUAUCAAAAGUUUUAGGACUGUUUUGGAUCUAAAGUGACAUGCAAAGAUAAGUCAUCACAAUAGUUCCAGUGAGUGUUCAGCUAAUUCCUAAAAGAAUGCAAAUCUACUGUGUUAACGUAGGAGUUUUCUAUCAAAUUCUUGACGUGGAAAUUUAAGCUGUUCCUUUAGAAAUGAAGCAAAUUCUUUGCUUUGUUAGUGUGGAGCCAGAUAUCGAGACAUCUCUGUGUACAAAGUCUAAACAGUUCAUCAGGAAGAGGUAACAUGGUGGCAAAUCACGCUUUUUGUCAAGCAGCUUGGAAUGAGAACUCUCCAGCAGUGAAUACUCAAGUACAAAACAGUGAGAGCAGGAUGAAUGUUCUCUUUGGUGCCAAUAAUAAUAUAUAGAGGAAAACAAACACAAAACUUUAAAACCUUACAGAUGUAAAAAUAUAUGUACUUCGCCAUCAUACCCAAUUGCCAAAGAAAAAGAAAUAUCCCCAUACACACCCAAAUGCAUAAGCUUGCAAAGAGAACAAAGACUGCUAUAAAUAUUCCAAGAAGCCAAUAAAAAAAACUAGGAGUGGUUAGUUCUCAAGUGUAAUGGUCUGCCAUAAAAGCUUUUAUUGUUAAGGGAGUUACUUUACUAAGAGCUGUAUGAAGAAAACUGAAUGAAUGUGAAAAAUUGCAUGCAAUAACCUGAACUGAAAGAUGAUUAUCAACCUCUGAGUUCUGUGCUUUUGAGUGUUUGCUGCUGUUAGAAGAUUGCCGUUGUGGUUAAAGAAAAGCUUGUUUUGUACUACUAUCCCUCCUCCAGGUGUACAGAGAGUCAGUGUGUUCUUCUCCUGUGCCUUUGUCUGUCCAUAUUAAGUGUCAUUUUUAAAAUUGAAGGGCCUGAUCCUGCAGUUCUGCUUUCAGGAGGCAUUACUCCUGUGCAGUGGAACAUUUCCACUGAAGCACUUUGCAGGGGACCUGAUCCCACAUGGUAGAAGGAGAAGUACUGGGACUCACUCUGACAGGAGAGUGGCAGCCCGAGGCCAGGGUUUGUUACCAGCCUGACCUACAGCUGCAGAGCUCACUCCUGAGUGACUCAAAUGUCUGCUGAAUUCACUGCUUCUCAGGAGUAAAAGCUGAAUUUCUUACUGAGACAAUUUUUGCCUAGCAAGUUAUUUACAAAUACACCAAACGCAUACUGACAAAACAUACAAAACUUGAAAGCUGCUUCUCUAACAGCUGCGAUAGAAGGAAGGAAGUAGAAGACAUGGUUAUUUCUAUACCUCACCAUAAGGGAGGUGCUCUGAGUGCUCUGCUAAUUAGGACCUUAUCAGUAGCUAAAUGAAUAGGCAGGUAUCAUACGCAUUCCAUGUCACUUCAAAGGCUGCUCCAAACUCUGAACAUUUACAACAUCAGGCUUUUAGAUAUUACCACUUUACAGAAUAUCUUUCUGCCUUUGAUUCUCCGGCUACUUUUUUUCUUUCCAGUGCUUAACAAACACAAUGAGGCCAGAUGAUGGUUGCAAAUCAGAAACCCAUUAGAUACAUCUACUCACAGUUUCCCUACAGAAAAUGCUAAGCUACUGUGUUUGGUGACCCUCUCUCACGCUUUCAUGUGCAUUCGUGUUGUGUUAGCAUUCUCCCUGACAUUCUCGGGGAUCAAGUCAAAGAGAAGAAAGCACUAUCAUCAAUUUUAUCACAUCCCUUUCUCUUACAGUUCCAAGGAAUAAAGGUAUUUGGAAGGAAAAAAAAUGAAAGAAAGAUACAGCUCAGUUUUGUGCAAAACCUUCACAGUGAAAAUGGAAAGCAUAGGAUUUGUACCUGCUUUAAUAAACAAAAAACAGAGUGCCCCUAGAUCUGCUGAUGUGUGCCAAUUCUUUCUACAAAUCUCCAAGAAGCAGAACACUGUAUUAAUGCAAUUUUAAGUAAUAUUUAUAUUAAUGAAUUUAUUGUAGCCUAAUAAAAAUACCCACUCCCAGGCUCUGAAGUAAUAACUCAUUUUGGACAUCGGUAAGCCAUAUAUAAAUCUUAGCUAGUUCUCCCAGGCCAGUGAUAUUCUGAAUACAAGCAAGUUUUUUCCUGCACUGGCCAUUAGAUCCAUCCCCACAAAGGCUGGUAAAUCAACAUUGCCCAUGGUGCAUCAAAGCACAAGAAAACAAGCUGUGCCACAGCAGGAGUUUAUUCAGUGACACAAGGCUCUGCUGAAGAGCAUCUAGACAGAAAUCAUCUAUCCCCAAGCAGGAAAUAUCUCCAAGACUGCAUAAAAGCCCCCUAGAUAGAGAGAGAAGUAUCUUGGGUAGGAUGCUUUCAGAUUGCUUGAUUCCCUAUAUACAGUUUCUGCCAAG
ensembl:lncRNA